rnacentral:rRNA from 1 species
CCUACGGGUGGCUGCAGUGAGGAAUCUUUGUCAAUGGGCGCGAGCCUGAACCAGCCACGUAGCGUGAAGGAUGACUGCCCUACGGAUUGUAAACUUCUGUUAUAAAGGAAUAAAGUGAGGCACGUGUGCCUUUUUGUAUGUACUUUAUGAAUAAGGAUCGGCUAACUGCGUUCCAGCAGCCGCGGUAAUACGGAGGAGCCGAGCGUUGUCCGGAUUUAUUGGGUUUAAAGGGAGCGUAGAUGGGUUGUUAAGUCAGUUGUGAAAGUUUGCGGCUCAACCGUUAAAUUGCAAUUGAUACUGGCAGUCUUGAGUACAGUUGAGGGAGGCGGAAUUCGUGGUGUAGCGGUGAAAUGCGUAGAUAUCACGAAGAACUCCGAUUGCGAAGGCAGCUUACUAAACUGCCACUGACAUUGAUGCACGAAAGUGUGGGUAUCAAACAGGAUUAGAUACCCCUGUAGUC